rnacentral:rRNA from 1 species
CUAAAAACCUAGUCUCUCCCCCUUCCAUGAAGCAUUAACCCUCUUCAUUAACCAAUAAAACAUUUUCUCUUUUUAGUAGGGGCGGACUGAAAAAUUAUUAAGAACUACAACAAAAGUACCGCAAGGGAAAGGUGAAAUAGAAAUUAAAUAAAAAUUAAGCACAACAAAGCAGAGACUCCCCCUCGUACCUUUUGCAUCAUGGUUUAGCUAGUCAAACCAAGCAGAAAGAAUUUUAGUUUGACCCCCCGAAACUAGGUGAGCUACUUCAAAACAGCCUAUCAAGGGCCAACCCGUCUCUGUUGCAAAAGAGUGGGAAGAUUUUCAAGUAGAGGUGACAGACCUACCGAACCUAGAGAUAGCUGGUUAUUUAGGAAAAGGAUUUAAGUCCUACCUUAAGUUCCCCUCUUCGUAGUAAAACUUCCGCGAACUUAAGAGCUAUUCAAACAACGUACAGCCUGUUUGAAACAGGAAACAACCUCAAAAACAGGGUAACCACAAAUGACAUGUGUAUAAGUGGGCCUAAAAGCAGCCAACUUUCAAAAAGCGUUACAGCUUCCUCACCCGUCACUCUAAUACCAAAAACACCCAAUAACCCUUACUUAGUACUAAGUAACUCUAUACUUUUAUAGAAAUUAUUAUGCUAAAACUAGUAACAUGAAGAAGCCCUUCUCCCAAAUGCACCUGUAAGCCAAAAAGAACAAUUCAUUGGCAUUUAACGCUAUUGACCCUAAAGCAAUAACCACACAAGAAAAUUUUGCUAACACCAACGUUAACCUAACACAAGAGCAUUCCGGGAAAGAUUAAAAGAAGUGGAAGGAACUCGGCAAAUUUUAACCCCGCCUGUUUACCAAAAACAUCGCCUCCUGCAGUAUAUAGGAGGUCCAGCCUGCCCAGUGACCAAGUUAAACGGCCGCGGUACCCUAACCGUGCGAAGGUAGCGCAAUCACUUGUUCUUUAAAUGAGGACUAGUAUGAAUGGCAUCACGAGGGUUACACUGUCUCCCACCUCUAAUCAGUGAAACUGAUCUCCCCGUGAAGAAGCGGGGAUAAAACUAUAAGACGAGAAGACCCCAUGGAGCUUCAAACCCGGCAUCAACCAUUAACAUUAAUACCACAUUAAAUAAAUGGACCUGACUGCUGGUUUUAGGUUGGGGUGACCGCGGAGCAUAACAAAACCUCCAUGAUGAACGACCUCCUCUCUAAUCCGAGAGCCACCACUCAAAGAAUCAAAAAAUUGACAUUUAUUGACCCAAACUAUUUUGAUCAACGAACCAAGUUACCCUGGGGAUAACAGCGCAAUCCAUUUCAAGAGCCCCUAUCGACAAAUGGGUUUACGACCUCGAUGUUGGAUCAGGGUAUCCUAGUGGUGCAGCCGCUACUAAAGGUUC